GAUGAACGCUGGCGGCGUGCCUAAUACUUGCAAGUCGAGCGAACGGACGAGAAGCUUGCUUUUCUGAUGUUAGCGGCGGACGGGUGAGUAACACGUGGAUAACCUACCUAUAAGACUGGGAUAACUUCGGGAAACCGGAGCUAAUACCGGAUAAUAUUUUGAACCGCAUGGUUCAAAAGUGAAAGACGGUCUUGCUGUCACUUAUAGAUGGAUCCGCGCUGCAUUAGCUAGUUGGUAAGGUAACGGCUUACCAAGGCAACGAUGCAUAGCCGACCUGAGAGGGUGAUCGGCCACACUGGAACUGAGACACGGUCCAGACUCCUACGGGAGGCAGCAGUAGGGAAUCUUCCGCAAUGGGCGAAAGCCUGACGGAGCAACGCCGCGUGAGUGAUGAAGGUCUUCGGAUCGUAAAACUCUGUUAUUAGGGAAGAACAUAUGUGUAAGUAACUGUGCACAUCUUGACGGUACCUAAUCAGAAAGCCACGGCUAACUACGUG
rnacentral:rRNA from 1 species